rnacentral:rRNA from 1 species
UACGUAGGGGGCAAGCGUUGUCCGGAAUCAUUGGGCGUAAAGAGCGCGUAGGCGGCCUUCUAAGUCGAACGUGAAAUCCCCGGGCUCAACCCGGGAACUGCGUCCGAUACUGGAAGGCUUGAAUCCGGGAGAGGGAUGCGGAAUUCCAGGUGUAGCGGUGAAAUGCGUAGAUAUCUGGAGGAACACCGGUGGCGAAGGCGGCAUCCUGGACCGGUAUUGACGCUGAGGCGCGAAAGCCAGGGGAGCAAACGGG